rnacentral:rRNA from 1 species
CCCUUAGAUGUUCUGGGCCGCACGCGUGCUACACUGAGUGGAUCAGCGGGUCAGGUUGCGCGAAAGUGUUUCCUAAUCUUGAAAUCCGCUCGUGAUGGGGAUUGACGGUUGCAAUUUUCCGUCAUGAACGAGGAAUACCUUGUAAGCGCGGGUCAUCAUCCCGCGCUGAAUACGUCCCUGCCCUUUGUACACACCGCCCGUCGCUCCUACCGAUUGAGUGGUCCGGUGAGGCUUCGGGAUCUGAGCAAAGAGAGCGUUUCGCUCGUUUUGCCCGGAAAACUCAGUCGAACCUUAUCAUUUAGAGGAAGGAGAAGUCGUAACA